CCUUAGAACUGUUACACAACAGCUACACACAAGAACACUAACAGGGGGUCUUUGUGUCCGUUUUCUCUCCUCUUGCCUGUUACACACUGUUCUGCAACUUUCCCUGAUUCCCCAGAGAUGUGAUCUUAUAGGCAAAGCUUCGAAAAACAAAAAAGAAACAAUAAAAAUGGUGCAAUAAGGUCCGCCCUGCAGCAGAGAUUCCUACAGGGCUGACAUAUUUGCAAUGACAUCAUAUUCUUUCCAUGUUUCAACACCUUUAAAACAAUGGGACUUACAGGACCGAAGCUGUAAAUGUGACCAUUGUUUCCCGAAGAUGAAUCCUGGAAAUAGAAGCGAGUUGCCCAGACUAAAAAUUAGGUAUAUAUAUCAGGAAACUUAAGGAUAUGAAAACAGAUGUUCAGUUGAUAGCAUCCUGGGGGGGGAAGGUAUCAGAACACCAAAAGGUCAGUAAAUACAGGAAUGCAUCUUCAUGUUAAAACAACAAGUUCAUGGGGUAUUGCUUUGAGUGAAUUAUUCAUGAAGAAGAGCAUAAUCUACUUUACCAGGGCAAUCAACAAGGACAGGUUUUACCUGACAAGGUGGGUCUCUAUAAUUGUAAGAAGGGUAAAUGAUCACGUCCUUGAUUAUUGAAACACCAAUUUCCUCUGUUAGUGAUAUACCUCAGAAUCACAGUGCAACAAUAUCCACUCUCUACUUCCUAAGCAACAAAAUGAACCUAUAGGUCCCAAUAGAAGUGAAUCAUACUCUUUCUAGGAACAGAGUUAUAGCUUCAUUGAAUUGACAGUGUAUAGCUUCUCUGCAUUGUUGUAUAUAGAAAACAGCAAUUUGCAAGUUCAAGUCUCUAUUUUUUAUUUAUUUAGUUAUUUUACAAAUUAGUACUAAUAUACAGUAUAUUGUUAUAUAUUCUGGAGUAUAACCUUAGUUAUCUACAGUCAUACCUCUUGAAUUUUUCACAUUUUUGUUUUUUGUAAAUUAUGGGACAUUUUAAUGUGAUAUACCAUCACCACAUAGCACGUAAUUGCAAAGUCUAAGAAUGUUCUUUGUGUUGUCUCUGUUUUGCCCUGUGAUGAACUGGUGACCUUUCCAGGUUGUACCUCACCUCUCGCCCAAUUAGCUUUCUUUAUAGACAGUGGAUCGAUGGCUUUUUCUUCCAUAUCAUAAUUAUGCAUUACUUUCAGUUAAUGCUAGUUAAAAACAAUGUUGUUGUACCUGUAAUGUGAGACAAUCUGAACAAUGUUUGAGGGGUAUGAAUAUAUUUACUUGACAUUAUAUCCAUUUUUUAUGUAAUGCAGCUCAAUUUGCUGAAUUACAUUAACUCAUUCAAGAAGUUUCUUUAAUAACAUUUUUGUAUUUGUAUGUUUUAUACGAUAAAAGCAUUUUGCAAACAGAGUGGCUUUCUGGGCAGAUUCCAAAGAAUUGAAUUUGUUAUUGUCAAGACACUGCCAGACUAUUUCUCUGGGGGUCAUCUUGAACAUGUCUGUUUUAAGACCUGACAACAUUCCUUCUGUGUUGUGUCACAUGGGUGGAGAGACCGCUGUUAUUAAGUUAUCGGUCGUUCUAUCUGCCCUUCAGUCGCCUCGAAUUGAUCACAGCUGCAGCCCUGCAAGAGGCACUGUUCGGUGCAUGUGUGUAAGAACGGAGGAUGCUUUCAGAAGAAAACAGAGUCUCGGUUUGCCACAUGAGAACACGUCUUCAGAAUAUGCUUUUGCUUUGAGCGUCUUGCAUGACAACCCAAAGGAAGAAUGAAUACCCAAGAUAAAAGGCCAGUAAUGGUGAGACUGUAAGCUGAUAGUUUCCAUGGAUGAUAAAUGAACUUAGGCUAAUCCAGGCAAAUGAAAAUGAGGAAUAAAACACAGGCUGUGAGGCAGUUGUGUACCUCUGUUCAUGCUCAGAAAAAGCAAUCUCAUUAGCCCUGACAUUAGCUGCUUCACCUUUACAUCAACAUUUAGACAGAAU